GACGAACGCUGGCGGCGGGCUUAACACAUGCAAGUCGAACGGAAAGGCCCUGCUUUUGUGGGGUGCUCGAGUGGCGAACGGGGGAGUAACACGUGGGUAACCUGCCCUUGACUUUGGGAUAACUUCAGGAAACUGGGGCUAAUACCGGAUAGGAGCUCCUGCUGCAUGGUGGGGGUUGGAAAGUUUCGGCGGUUGGGGAUGGACUCGCGGCUUAUCAGCUUGUUGGUGGGGUAGUGGCUUACCAAGGCUUUGACGGGUAGCCGGCCUGAGAGGGUGACCGGCCACAUUGGGACUGCGAUACGGCCCAGACUCCUACGUGAGGCAGCAGUGGCGAAUAUUGCACAAUGGGCGGAAGCCUGAUGCAGCAACGCCGCGUGCGUGAUGACGGCCUUCGGGUUGUAAACCGCUUUCGCCUGUGACGAAGCGUGAGUGACGGUAAUGGGUAAAGAAGCACCGGCUAACUACGUG
rnacentral:rRNA from 1 species